rnacentral:rRNA from 1 species
UGCAGCCUGCAACCCGGCUGCACGAAGCCGGAAUCGCUAGUAAUCGCAGAUCAGCAUGCUGCGGUGAAUACGUUCCCGGGUCUUGUACACACCGCCCGUCACACCAUGGGAGUCGGAAAUGCCCGAAGUCUGUGACCCCAACCUGAAAGGGAGGGAGCAGCCGAAGGCAGGUCGGAUGACUGGGGUGAAGUCGUAACAAGGUACC